UACAGAGGUCCCAAGCGUUGCUCGGAAUCACUGGGCGUAAAGGGUGCGUAGGCGGGUUUCUAAGUCAGAGGUGAAAUCCUGGAGCUCAACUCCAGAACUGCCUUUGAUACUGGAAGUCUUGAGUAUGGGAGAGGUGAGUGGAACUGCGAGUGUAGAGGUGAAAUUCGUAGAUAUUCGCAAGAACACCAGUGGCGAAGGCGGCUCACUGGCCCAUAACUGACGCUGAGGCACGAAAACGUGGGGAGCAAACAGG
rnacentral:rRNA from 1 species